UCCGGGGUAGCUCAGCUGGCAGAGCAGCGGACUGUUAAUCCGUUUGUCGUGGGUUCGAUCCCCACCCCCGGAG
rnacentral:tRNA from 2 species